rnacentral:rRNA from 1 species
UACGUAGGGGGCUAGCGUUGUCCGGAAUCAUUGGGCGUAAAGCGCGUGUAGGCGGUCCGGUAAGUCCGCUGUGAAAGCCAGGGGCUCAACCCUUGGAUGCCGGUGGAUACUGUCGGGCUCGAGUACGGAAGAGGCGAGUGGAAUUCCUGGUGUAGCGGUGAAAUGCGCAGAUAUCAGGAGGAACACCAAUUGCGAAGGCAGCUCGCUGGGACGUUACUGACGCUGAGACGCGAAAGCGUGGGGAGCAAACAGG